GACGAACGCUGGCGGCGUGCUUAACACAUGCAAGUCGAACGGAAAGGCCUGCUUUCCCUUGUGGAUUGCGGGUGCUCGAGUGGCGAACGGGUGAGUAACACGUGAGUGAUCUGCCCCCAACUUGGGUAUAAGCCUGGGAAACUGGGUCUAAUUCCCGAUAGGACUGCAGGGUGGUGCCUGUGGUGGAAAACGAUUUUCUAGUGGUUGGGGAUGAGCUCGCGGCCUAUCAGCUUGUUGGUGGGGUAAUGGCCUACCAAGGCGGCGACGGGUAGCCGGCCUGAGAGGGUGGACGGCCACAUUGGGACUGAGAUACGGCCCAGACUCCGACGGGAGGCAGCAGUGGGGAAUAUUGCACAAUGGGCGGAAGCCUGAUGCAGCGACGCCGCGUGGGGGAUGACGGCCUUCGGGUUGUAAACUCCUUUCGACCGCGAGGAAGCCACCUGGUUGGAAGGGUGGUGACGGUAGUGGUAGAAGAAGCACCGGCUAACUACGUG
rnacentral:rRNA from 1 species